rnacentral:lncRNA from 1 species
AUUGCUUUUCUCGUUUUUUCUUUAACAUUUUUUCUUUGCUGUUUUUAGAUAGUUUAUUUAUUGUUAUUUCCUUUUAGUUGUUUAUUUUGCUUUUUAGUAUAAUGCAUGAGUCUGACGAGUCACCAAAUAUAGUAGAUCUUUAGUACAAUCCUAUGUUUUUAGAUAGUUUAUUUAUUGUUAUUUCCUUUUAGUUGUUUAUUUUGCUUUUUAGUAUAAUGCAUGAGUCUGACGAGUCACCAAAUAUAGUAGAUCUUUA